GCCCCGCCGCUUCCGCCGAAACAGUCCGGCCCAAGCGAGCUGGCAAAUAUCGGGGCCCACGCGAGCGGCGAAAAGUGCUCGCCGCCGCCGCCGCCGCCGCCGCCGAAAUGCUCACCCUCAAACAGCGCCUCCUCUCCGCCCUCCGCGCGGCCGCCUCCCUCCACCGCCUCUCCUUAUCCACCACCGCCGCCGCCACACCGCCCGUCGGAUUCCUCGCCGAGGAGUACCUCGUCUCCAGCUGCGGCCUCAAGGCAGCGCAGGCCCGGAAGGUCUCCAAGUACCUCUCCCACCUCAGGUCCCCCGUCAAGCCAGACGCCGUGCGCGCCUUCCUCGCGGGCAUCGGCCUCGCCGAAGCCGACGUCGCCGCGGCGGUCGCCAGCUACCCGUUGCUCCUCAGCGCCAAGGUGGACACAACCCUAAUCCCCCGCAUCGGCCAGCUCCGCGAAAUCGGCCUCUCGCCUCCCCAGAUCUCCCGUCUAAUCGCCGUCACGCCUGAAGUCUUAUUUAGCCCCGUCAAGAUUUCCCGGCUCGCGUUCUACCUCUCGUUUUUGGGAUCCUUCGACAGGGUGCACUCCGCCCUAAACAGGAGCAGCUACCUCCUCCGUUCAGACCUUGAGACUGUUGUCAGGCCCAACAUAGCAUUCCUGCACCAGUGUGGCCUAACUGACGAUGAUAUUGGCAAGCACUUUUUAAUGAAGUCGAGGAUGCUCCUAACGCAGCCACAGCAUCUGAAGGAAAUUGCAGCGCGUGCUGAGGAGCUCGGCGUUCCACGCAAUUCUGUGAUGUUCAAGAACGUCAUGCCUGCCAUCUACAGCUUAAAUGCUGGAAGGCUCAAUGCGAAGCUCAGUUUCCUGAAGAAGGUUGUUGGAUGCUCUGAGGCCGAGCUGGGCAAUCUGAUGCGCAAGAUGCCGACAGUUGUAACACGUUCAGAGAGUAAGAUAGGGCGCAUACUGGAGUUUCUGAAGGUGGAGGUUGGAUUGGAACCUUCAUACGUCUUGCAGAGACCAGCAAUCCUCGGUUAUAGCAUAGAGAAGCGGCUAAUGCCCCGGCAUUGUGUCUUAAGGAUUCUGAAGGCAAAGGGGUUUCUGAGCAAAGAGAUUGACUUUUACACAGCAGUUUGUCCAGCGGAGGAGAGAGGCCAAAUGGCCACUGAACUAUAACUGUGAGAUGCUGAACUAGAACUGUUGGAUAUCAAUUCUGCCUUGCAAGUUGGUAUAUGUUGAUGCGGUGGAGUUCCUGAAGGUUGAGGUUCGAUGGGAUCCAUCCUUAGUGCAUCGUGCGCAGACCGGCAAUGCUCUUCUAUAGCACACAGAACCAACUUGGCAUUAUGUCAUAAAGGUUCUGAAGGCGAAGGGGCUUGUGAAACAAAAUAUUGACAUGCAUAAUGUGGUUUCCGCAUCAUAGUUCAGGGAGGAGAUUCAUAGAGUGGUUCCUAGACCGUUGCAAGAAGAGUUUCCAGGGCUGACAAAGGCUUAUGCUGCUGCCUGUGCAGGGCAAGUUCCAUAAAUCAAACCCUGACUGAUGUUGAAGGUCUAUUCUACUACCUCGGUAACAAACUGAGUUGAUACAUUGACAUGUUAAACCAUGCUCACUUCAGUUUGGGUUUCUGGUGUCUUGAUUACAAAUCAUGUGUUCAAGCCUGCACCUAAUGUCUCUGAAGUAUGAAAUAUUUGGAUUGCCUGAUUCUGCUUUCCAAUGCUUUUGCCUUCCUGCUUUACAAACCCUACUGAAUUAGCUGGCUUCUUGUUUGGAUAUAGUACUUUCACAAUAGCUGCUUAAUCGAAGUCUUCAUGGUACUAAGUAUGAAUUCAGAGUUCCUGUUAACAUAUUAUCAAUCUUACUUUGUGAAUAGCAUGCAGGAGUGUUGGCAACAUAUUAUCAAUAUUACUUAGUAUGAAUUCAGAAUUCCUGUUAACAUAUUACCAAUCUUGACAUAUUAUAUAUGUAUGGUUAAUCUUUUCUAAGUUACAGUUUUAUUAUUUUGUUGGUGAAUUCUGGGAUUUGUUGAAUAUUGGUUUCCGAUGGAAUGCAAGUGCGGUGAGCUCACAUAGAAAUGGGGAAGGACUGAGCUUCGCUAAGUUGUCUUGGACCGAGGGUUUAUUGGUACAGCUGACUGUUUGCCCUUUACCAGCUGGACAUCAGCCUUAGGUCUCGUUUGUUUUUUUAAGUUCACAUCGAAUAUUUAGAUGCCAAUUCAAAUAUUUAGAUGCCAAUUUUAAUUAAAACUAAUUGCAUAAGUUGCAAUCAGGGCUCUAGACGAAUCUGUUAAGUAUAAUUAAUGCAUAAUUAGUGGAUGAUUAUUGUAGCAAUUAGUGGUCAAACUAUGGACUAUGAAAAUAUUUUGUAAUAAGUUUAUGUUUAGUACUCUUAAUUGGUGUGUAAACAUGCGAUGUGACGGGACUUAUGACUUAAACUGAAAAUACCAAACUGGGCCUGAAAAACAAACAGAAGGGUUGAUUGAAUUAAUGCUGAUUGGUAAGACUGUCCAGGUUAGGUUGGAAUGCGGGCAUACUGUCUGACUUAUCAACACUUGGUCCGUUAGAAAACCUACAACAUGAGUUCUGCUCGGUCCUAAGACAGCAGAUCAACAAAAUGAAAUGACUAAAUCCUUGAGCUCAAUUCAGCUUUGUGCGCGCUGUGUCAUGGACUUGUUUUCCUUUUCAAAAGAAAAAAAAGGUAUAAAUUUGUGUUUGCUGACCGAGGCGUCGAAACGGUGACCGCUAGUCCGCAAUACUCCUCCCAUGACGGCGAUCCGACAUGGGAGGGAGCUUUGUCUUCUAGGCGACGAUGUCGAGGUGAGAUCGACGUCGCUGCAGAGGAAUAAGUGCCUCCAUCCUUCUCGUCAUGAUGGCGUUGGCUCCGGCGCCAUCUUGAGGUACGGGUGGCUCGACCUCUCUAGUUCUGUCUUCUACGACUACUAUAGGAGGGUCUGCUCUGGAGCCCAUAGAUAUGUGCCGCUCCUGCUUCUUGUGGCGGCGGCCGAGCCCUUUGUUGUUGGAAGAGAAGGCCUGGUGCUGGGUUUGUUGGCGUGGUGGUGUGUGUCCAUGGUUCUUCACGGCGUGUUUUGGCGGCUUGCCAUGGCCCUGGACCAGGUGCGCGUGGGGUGCUUCCCCGGCCGCUGCGCUACAUCGGGUUUUUGCUCGUCCUUUGGGGCGGCUUCUUUUGUGGCUCCUACUAAAGCUUCGGCGAUUUGGCGCGCCCUCCUGGUUUCUGGUGGUUGUCGCCGUCUCCAGCGGCGGAACCAGAAAAUUUUUGAAGGGGGGGCCAAGAGGCUAAGCCAACAUAUGGCCAUGGCGGCGGCCGGUGGCGUUACUGCGACGUAUGUAUGUCUUCAGUUCGGCUGAGGCGUCCGUUAGUUUGUUAUACCAUUGCAAAAACGAUUCAGAGUCUAUGUGCCAUGUCUGCGGCUAGGGGCGAAGCUACCUCUAAAAUUAUCAUGGUGCAACCGUUAAAGACCAUAAAAAAAAUUAACAAUACAUGGUAAAUGCAAGUCUAGCUAGUGCUAAAUUUUUCAUUACCCUGGUGCAUCGGUACCAGGCAAACUGUACGUAGCGUUAACCCUGGCUGCGCCGCUGCGGCUCCUCCUAAAAUAGCUCUGGUACAGUUUUUUGAUGAAGUAGAAACUGAAGUUGUGUUAAAAAAUUGUUUCCUAAAACGGCUUCAGUCGCCUAGGAUCAUGGUAGCCGCGAGAAGCCACAAUUUUUUGCUCGCAGGCAAAGCCGUUUUAUGGCUUUAUUCACGGCUCCCAUGAUAAAAUCAUUUUGAAAAUGAUAUUUUGAUAGAGCUUUCAUCAAAAGUCGGUGAGGAAGCUAUGCAAAACAUACUACUUUUUGCUUGUAGUUAUUGCCUCUUAGACUAUGUACUUGAUUUUAAUUGAAAAUACAACGUGAGCUACUAGAUAUUGAAUUUGUUGUAGAAUCACUUAUCUAAUUAUUUGUUA